rnacentral:ribozyme from 1 species
UGCCCAGCAACUCCUAUCCCUACCUCCGCGUGGUACCGACUGGAUACUAUGAGCAACCUUAGAAAUGAUCGGGUAACCAACCCCGGUGGGAACUUUGGCGUGGACUGACAGGUAAGG